CCCUGGCAGAUGACAGACUGGGUCAAUCCUCUCAUUGAAGGUAACAUCCCAUCCUGGAAGUGGUUGGCGACUCCUGUUUUUAGAGACUUACUCCGUCCAUCCAUCCAUCCAUCCAUCCAUCCAUCCAUCCAUCCAUCCAUCCAUCCAUCAAUUUUCUAUACCCGCAUUUUCUAUGCAGGGUUGCAGGGGUCUGGAGCGUAUCUGGGAUGCUGCCUAUUGUCACUAGAUGAUAUUCAACCUUCCAUCUUCAAAGACGGCAGACGUUUAGUCGAUGUUCAUCCACUUAGUAAAUAAUCAAGGCCCGUGUGGCCGGCUGAAGGUGUUACGAGCGUGAUCCAUUGUGCGUCGCAUUCUGACGCAU